UGGUACUCAAUUUAGCUUUGUUUAGAUUUUCUUCCGGGUGGUGGAAAUCUAGCCGCCAAAUUGAAAUUAUCCAAGGCGCAUUAAUGUGUUAGCGUUAGAUAUCGCUAAUGCACUUAAUUUGUGUUUUUUAUAUUGCCAUUCGCUUACGCAUAUCCAACAAUGGCUGAAUAAAAAAUAAAAAACUAACGUUACCAUAGCUAGCUAACGUCUUAUCUCACACGGCGGACACAAUGGACGAGCCGUGAAAAGAUGUUUUGGGGUACUUGAACAUAUUGGAAAUGGAAGCUAACAACUUGGCAGUGAAGCAGCAGGAAUUCCGGCAGAUUAGUCGCGAGGAAGAGCUGAAUGCAACACUACAGGAACUCCUCACUAAAAGACCAGUUAAAAGUUUAAAUAAAAGCAAAUACACUAAUCCCUCCAGAAGCUGAGAACUCUACUGGACAAAACAGGUGUUCCAUGUGAGAGGGAUGAGGAUGACCUGGAGGAUGGCUCAGAGAACUCACGACUUCUGCUGUUGAUGGCCAGACACACAACUGCAGGACCUGCUUCAUGGUCACCACCUUAUCGGUGGGUAUGAUAUAGGCGUCUACCUUGAGACAUAUAACCUGGAGAUGAACCUGUUGUCUAAUCUGAGAAUUUGUCGCCACAACAUCCCUCCAUUCAUCCCCAUGGAGAGGCUGGUCAAGCAGAGCAACAUGCAGACAGACGUCAGGGCUUUCCUGUAUACCCUCAGCCAAUAUCUCAAUGCCUACGUUGGCCGCAAGCAGCAGCUGCACCUCAUCAAGGAGCUUCAUAGCUCUGUUCAGGUGAUGGAGAGUAAUACUCUCUAUACUAUACUGGUGCUGAUGUUCACUAUACCAGGAGAGAAAGCCGGGGCUGCACUGUGUACACUGGAGUAUGCCGACCACACACACGAUGCCUGCCCAACCGGGUCAACAUAGUCUGAAGACAUCGCGCUGGCCAGUUCUCCACAAUGGAAGAAGAACCACGCCCUACUCCUGGAGACCCCAGUACACACAGCCUUAGUGACCAUUAAAAAGACCAGCAGUAUCGCUUAGUCUGAAGACACAGUAUGCUGUAAAUAUACUCCAGACUGAACCGUUGUUUAUGUCAAUGUAUGAAGUUUAUUUUACAUUUGUUUUUAUACUAAUUUAUGUCAGUCACUAUCUAGGCUAGUAAUUGUCAGAUACCUAUACAUGUACUGUAUAUAUUGUUGUUUUAAUCUAGUCUGACAACCCUGUUUGUAA